rnacentral:rRNA from 1 species
GUAGGGAAUAUUGGGCAAUGGAUGCAAGUCUGACCCAGCCAUCCCGCGUGCCGGAAGAAGGCCCUCAGGGUUGUAAACGGCUUUUGACGGUGAAGAAUCGACAGGAUGCGUCCUGUUUUGACGGUAGCCGUUGAAUAAGCACCGGCUAACUCCGUGCCAGCAGCCGCGGUAAUACGGAGGGUGCGAGCGUUGUCCGGAUUUAUUGGGUUUAAAGGGUGCGUAGGCUGGAAGGUCAGUCAGCGGUGAAAAGCUGUCGCUUAACGAUAGUCUUGCCGCAGAUACUUCCUUUCUUGGAUGAGGAGGAGGCCACUGGAACGGAUGGUGUAGCGGUGAAAUGCAUAGAUAUCAUCCAGAACACCGAUUGCGAAGGCAGGUGGCUGUACCUUAAUCGACGCUGAUGCACGAAAGUGUGGGGAUCGAACAGGAUUAGAAACCCCGGUAGUCC